UUGGUAAACCAGGCGAUCGCCUAUUGCUAUUUUUAAAUUGCUAAUAGGAGGAAAGUCCGGGCUACAUAGGGUAAUGUGCCAGCUAACCGCUGGGCGGAGUAAUCCGACGACAAGUGCAGCAGAGAGAAGACCGCCCCGCUAUGUUUUUGUAUCUCGUAUAUAAAAACGCAGCGGGGUAAGGGUGAAAGGGUGGGGUAAGAGCUCACCGCAUGACUGGUAACAGUUCAUGGCAAGGUAAACUCCACAUGUAGCAAGACCAAAUAGGUAUCCGCAUGGCGUGACCCGCGUUGGAUACGGGUAGGUUGCUUGAGCGUAUUGGUAACGGUACGCCUAGAUGAAUGAUCGUCCACGACAGAACCCGGCUUAUCGGUUUACCAUGUUA
rnacentral:RNase_P_RNA from 1 species